rnacentral:lncRNA from 1 species
AUGGUGAUUCUUUGGCUGCUAUCUUAUGAAUGUACUUGGAAAUGUCGUCUUUGAUUGCGGUUAGUUCCGGUUUUCGAGAUUUAAAAUCCAUUGAAUGUGAAUUCAUGGAUGUGGUUUGUGUUGUCUCUCUUGGUUUUUCAUCUAGGGAAAGAUUAUUUGUAUCCACAUGAUGUUUUUCUCCGGUUAUCUCGGUUGACGUUUUGAUUUCUGAAACUUCGCUUGUGCUUUUAGCGGUAGGCGAUGGUGGUGAUGAUGUAGGUUCAGAAGCUGAUCGAGAUGGAGAUCUGGGCGGGGUUCGGGUCAGAGAUUGGUUUGCUGGUGGUGGGGUUUGGGGAGGACUAGGCGGCGUUGCUGGACCUGCGGUUAUAAUGGUUGGUAUGGUUUCAGUGGUACGAGUUUCUUUGGCGGGUUGAGCUGCAACAGGUUCAUAGUUUUAGCGAUUGGCGAUUCCGGUACUGAUGACUUAGGUGAAACCGAUGGUGGUGGUGGUGUUUGGGGAGGACUAGGUUGGAGUUGAGCUUGCGUAAGCGGAUUAAGUGGUGGCGAUGGAGGUGGGGUUCCGGGAUCUGCAGUUACAAUGGUUCGUGUGGUUUCAGUGGUGGCGGGCU